rnacentral:rRNA from 1 species
UACGUAGGGUGCGAGCGUUAAUCGGAAUUACUGGGCGUAAAGCGUGCGCAGGCGGUUUUGUAAGCCAGAUGUGAAAUCCCCGGGCUUAACCUGGGAAUGGCAUUUGGGACUGCAAGGCUUGAGUGCGGCAGAGGAGACUGGAAUUCCUGGUGUAGCAGUGAAAUGCGUAGAGAUGCGGAGGAACACCGAUGGCGAAGGCAGCCCCCUGGGCUGACACUGACGCUCAGGCACGAAAGCGUGGGGAGCAAACAGG